UGUUCAAGCUGCACGCCACACAGAGCGCCGGCUCCACCAGCGAGAAGGAUGAGGCGCUGGAGCGAGACGUGGACUUCUGGAUUUCUCUGUGCUGUCAGUUUGACGUCAGCGAUCAGCUGACCUCGCUCAUCAACAUCCUGAACUUCCUGCUGCAGCUGCCCGACGACAAAGAGGACGCUCCAGUGAAACGGCCCGCCGCCCGGCGAGGAGCGAAGAAGGAGGAGGAAAAGGUGGAGGAGCUGAUCUUCAGCGUGGACGCUCACGGCGGCAAAGAGCUGCGACACUUCAAGUUCCUCUCCGUGUCAUUCGCGGCUCAGCUGCUCGGCUCGGCGAGCUUCAUCGGGAAGGUG